AUGUACGUUGCCUUAGAUUCUCAAAGUGACACCUCCCUAGCAACACCUGAAUUCUUUAACAUCUUUCAAAUUCAAUCAAAAGAGGUAGAAUACGUUAUGACUACUUGUGGUGGAGAUCAGGUCAUGGUGGGGAGAGUAGCAUCUGGAUUCAUCCUCCGGACUAUUGAUGGCAUGAAACAAUUUAGGUUACCAACGUUCAUAGAAUGCCAAAAUAUACCUAAAGAUGAAAGACAAAUCCCUACAAGAGAAAUAGCUAUGAGUCAUGCACACCUAAGAUCCAUGGCACAUAAGUUACCAAGAUUCGACCCUGGCGCAAAGAUUCUUUUGCUUAUUGGCAUAGACUGUCCAGACUUGUUUUCAGUUAAGAAGCAAAUAAAAGGUCGACCAGGAGCACCAAUAGCUCAAGAACUAGAGAUAGGCUGGACUAUCCUAGGUCCAGUAUGUUUAAACCGCAAAAGGUUGCCUUCCCAUGCUCGAACCUUUUGUACAAGCUUCAUGCCAAAUGGACGUCCUACACAGAUGUUAGAUUGUCGAAAUCACAUCCAGAUACGUUUCCAAAACACCGAGAGUUCAGAAUCUUCAGUAUUUAGGACUACAGUUCAUGAUAUUCUAAUAGUUUUGUCCAAAGAAAAUAAUCAACAGGAGGAACUUCUUGUAGGUUUCCUCUCAUAUGCAAACAGUGUUAGCACUCCAGAACCAGCAGACAAGUCAUAUAUUAUUGAAUAUGAAGAAAGCAAUCAUAUCGAUAAUAGAAGUUCAGAGCAACCUAGUACUUCAAGAUCUGUCAUAAAAGAAGAUGAAAUUGAAGAUAUGUCCACAUCGCAGAUUGCACUUCAAACCAAUUCCUCAACUCAGAGGGCAGAAUCAGAUAUACCUUUUGACCAUCUGGAAGCUCAAGCGUCUGUACAGCAAGCUAUAGAUGCUGCAAUGAUAUCUCCAAUAGUGCAACCACCCACCAAUGUUGGUGUCGACAUUUUCGCCCUACCAGCAAAGGUUACCAAAGAAGAAUGGAUGGCUGAUCACAAAGAGAGUAUUAAUUGUCUAAAUUAUAGCCAAGUACAACUUCAAAAGGACAGUGAGCAUAAUAUAGAUGGCCACAAGAACACUGGAAGUGAUCCUGCGUUAUCACAAAUGAUAGUGAGUCAUACAAAUUUCCACCCUGAUGGAUCAGAUAUGUGUAAUCAUUUGCAAGCAAAAUAUAUGACCUCACAGGCUACCACCAAUCAAUUAAGAGCUGAGCUUGCCAAAGAACCCCGAGAAGUUGCUGUAUAUGAGCAAGAACUUCAAAAACCUUCGGAGACAAAGUAUCAACUUGAAGAAGCUCAUGGUCAGCUAAAAGAGCAGAAACAAUUAUCUAGUAAAAGGCUAUUGGUCAAAGAACAGCAGGUUGCUGAUCUUCAAAUAAAGCCUUCAUAUUCUGAGGAGAAGCUAAAGGAGAUAGCAGCAGUUGUAACCAAACUGCAGCAACAGCUAAAUGGAGUGAAGCAGCAGUGCCAGGAUGAGCGGAGCUUUCGAAAGAGUGCCCAGCAGAGAGCGAAGGUGUUGGAGUUGAGACAAGAGCUUGUACCAGUCCAGGGGAGCCUGAACGGGUGUUGCAGCGUCGCAGAGGACAGGUUUGCCUUCCAUGUUCCAGAAUUAAAGGUAAGCUUUGACCGAAGAGGAUUUAGUCCACAUGAAGGAGGAUCGCAAGGUCAUCAAAGUGUUGGACUUUGGAAGGCCAACCACAUACUUCAUCCCGCCAUUUCAUCCAGAUCAAUCUGCAGAGAUUGUAGGAGAGCUGAAGGAUGA
rnacentral:lncRNA from 1 species